GGUGUGCCAUCGGUAUCUUCUACGGUCUGAACAACCUGCUCAUGACUGAAAUCGUUGGGCUCCACAACCUCACCUCCAUGUACGGCGCCAGGAACUUCCUCGGCGCUCUAGGUUUUUUCUCAAUCGUUCCUCUAAUUGGCAAGAUUACGUGACGUCAGUGGCAGCUACACCGUCAGCAUGUGGGUGUUAGCGGGCAUGAUCCUCACCAGCUUUGUGUUGUGGCUCUUCAUGCCGGCCGCCCAAGCUUACGACAACCGGUGCAAAGAGCGGAGCGAGUCACCCCGGCAGACCUCCACACACUUUAACCUUUGAGUUGUUGUGGCUUGUAAUAUAUUUGCCGUGUACCGUGUGCCCUCAUUUUCACAAAAACAGUUCUUACAAAUACAUCAUCUUACAAAGAAUAUAAAGCAUACAUACUAAUGGGAAACGAAAGAAUUUUUUUUUUCUACCUUGGUUUAGCCGUGGUGUAGAGCUGGGGGGCCGCCACAGGGUGGUGUAAUUGAGGGACUAAGAGGCAAGCCUGCUAGAAUAUCACAGCCUUAAAGAGACGGACCGCUCUACUUGCAUAUUGGCACGUCUCUGAAAAUUGAAUUGUGGUAUAUAUUAUAAAAAAUUAAACCGUUACAGGGUCAUGAAUUUGAAACAUAACUUUUGCUGUUACUAUUUUAGUUAUGAAGUGUUCACUGUUCAGUCUUUUCACCCAGUCAAACAUUACAACGAAAAGAUGAACGUUGAACUUACAAUCACUCGGACCAUGAAACGCUACCAGAGUUGAACCAUCACUUAAGGAAUGUCCAUACUCAACAUAAAUCUCAUUCGUGUGUAUUUAUUAAUCCCUGGUUGACAUUUUACCAAGUUACGGCAUAUUUGAUAAAGUAUCUUGAUCUAAUCGUUCCUUCAGGCUGUUAACUCUGGCGUAUCAUAUUAAUAAGAUGAGGCUAAUGAUAUUUUAAUUACCCAUAAAUUCUUAUUGGUAGAACCUUCGCUUUGUUUGUUUGCUUCGUUAGGUCUUGUAUUACGUGAGAUCCAAUGUUAUGUGGACUUACUUUCACAGAUAAACGUCUGUUAUUAUUUUCAUUACACCUACAUACGUCAACACGAUAUUGUAAUAUAACACUUUCUGAUCACCGUAUAUAAUGAAACAAAAGGGUGUGUAUGCGGGUUAAAAUAUACAAAGUGGCUUAUCAUUAUAAUACAUUUACUGAAGAAAUAUAAAGUGUAUUUCUGUCUAAAUAAAGAUUUUAGUUUAAAUAA